UACCGUGAAAAAAUUAGAGUGUUCAAAGCAGGCAGAUCCAAUUUUCUGCCACCGAAUACAUUAGCAUGGGAUAAUGGAAUAGGACCCUGUCCUCCUAUUUUCAGUUGGUUUUGGCAGCGCGAGGACUAGGGUAAUGAUUAAUAGGGAUAGUUGGGGGCAUUAAUAUUUAAUUGUCAGAGGUGAAAUUCUUGGAUUUAUGAAAGAUUAACUUCUGCGAAAGCAUCUGCCAAGGAUGUUUUCAUUAAUCAAGAACGAAAGUUAGGGGAUCGAAGACGAUCAGAUACCGUCGUAGUCUUAACCAUAAACGAUGCCGACCAGCGAUUAGGAGACGUUGAAUACAAAACACCACCAUCGGUGCGGUCGUCCUUGGCGUCUCGGUUUCGGCCGGGGUGCGGGGACGGCUUAGCCCGGUGGCACCGGUGAAUGACUCCCCUAGCAGCUUGUG
rnacentral:rRNA from 1 species